UGGGGGAAUAUUGGACAAUGGGCGAAAGCCUGAUCCAGCAAUGCCGCGUGUGUGAAGAAGGCCUUCGGGUUGUAAAGCACUUUUGUCCGGAAAGAAAUCCUUGGCUCUAAUACAGUCGGGGGAUGACGGUACCGGAAGAAUAAGCACCGGCUAACUACGUGCCAGCAGCCGCGGUAAUACGUAGGGUGCAAGCGUUAAUCGGAAUUACUGGGCGUAAAGCGUGCGCAGGCGGUUUGCUAAGACCGAUGUGAAAUCCCCGGGCUCAACCUGGGAACUGCAUUGGUGACUGGCAGGCUAGAGUAUGGCAGAGGGGGGUAGAAUUCCACGUGUAGCAGUGAAAUGCGUAGAGAUGUGGAGGAAUACCGAUGGCGAAGGCAGCCCCCUGGGCCAAAUACUGACGCUCAUGCACGAAAGCGUGGGGAGCAAACAGGAUUAGAUACCCUGGUAGUCCACGCCCUAAACGAUGUCAACUAGUUGUUGGGGAUUCAUUUCCUUAGUAACGUAGCUAACGCGUGAAGUUGACCGCCUGGGGAGUACGGUCGCAAGAUUAAAACUUAAAUGAAUUGACGGGG
rnacentral:rRNA from 1 species